CACGUCGGGGGCGAGCGUUGUCCGGAUUCAUUGGGCGUAAAGAGCUCGUAGGCGGCUCAGUAAGUCGGGUGUGAAACCCUCAGGCUCAACCUGGGGACGCCACUCGAUACUGCUGUGGCUAGAGUCCAGUAGAGGAGUGUGGAAUUCCCGGUGUAGCGGUGAAAUGCGCAGAUAUCGGGAGGAACACCAACGGCGAAGGCAGCACUCUGGGCUGGAACUGACGCUGAGAAGCGAAAGCGUGGGUAGCAAACAGG
rnacentral:rRNA from 1 species